rnacentral:rRNA from 1 species
GUGGGGAAUCUUGCGCAAUGGGCGAAAGCCUGACGCAGCCAUGCCGCGUGAAUGAUGAAGGUCUUAGGAUUGUAAAAUUCUUUCACCGGGGACGAUAAUGACGGUACCCGGAGAAGAAGCCCCGGCUAACUUCGUGCCAGCAGCCGCGGUAAUACGAAGGGGGCUAGCGUUGCUCGGAAUUACUGGGCGUAAAGGGGGCGUAGGCGGACAGUGUAGUCAGAGGUGAAAGCCCAGGGCUCCACCUUCGAAUUGCCUUUUAUACUGGCUGUCUUGAGUACGCGAGAGGUGAGUGGAACUCCGAGUGUAGAGGUGAAAUUCGUAGAUAUUCGGAAGAACACCAGUGGCGAAGGCGACUCACUGGCCCGUUACUGACGCUGAGGCGCGAAAGCGUGGGGAGCAAACAGGAUUAGAUACCCGUGUAGUCC